AAAAUAGAUAAUUAUUAAGGUGCCUUAAUAAGGAGAAUAGGGAAUCAAGUUAGAAUCUUGAGCGAUCCCAUCACUGUAUUCAGCUUAAAAACUUUUUAAAGUCCACCCUUUUGGGGAAGGAAAAAAGAACUUGCUGUAAGUCAGGAGACCUGCCUUUAUAAUUAAAUUCUU
rnacentral:ncRNA from 2 species